UACGUAGGGGGCUAGCGUUGUCCGGAAUCAUUGAUCGUAAAGCGCGUGUAGGCGGUCCGGUAAGUCCGCUGUGAAAGUCGGGGGCUCAACCCUCGGAUGCCGGUGGAUACUGUCGGGCUUGAGUACGGAAGAGGCGAGUGGAAUUCCUGGUGUAGCGGUGAAAUGCGCAGAUAUCAGGAGGAACACCAAUUGUGAAGGCAGCUCGCUGGGACGUUACUGACGCUGAGACGCGAAAGCGUGGGGAGCAAACAGG
rnacentral:rRNA from 1 species